rnacentral:rRNA from 1 species
UUCCAGACUCCUACGGGAGGCAGCAGUGGGGGAUAUUGCACAAUGGGGGGAACCCUGAUGCAGCGACGCCGCGUGGGUGAAGAAGCGCCUCGGCGCGUAAAGCCCUGUCAGCAGGGAAGAAAAUGACGGUACCUGAAGAAGAAGCCCCGGCUAACUACGUGCCAGCAGCCGCGGUAAUACGUAGGGGGCAAGCGUUAUCCGGAUUCACUGGGUGUAAAGGGAGCGUAGACGGGAAAUUAAGUUAGUUGUGAAAUCCCGCGGCUUAACUGAGGAACUGCAACUAAAACUGAUUUUCUUGAGUACUGGAGAGGAAAGUGGAAUUCCUAGUGUAGCGGUGAAAUGCGUAGAUAUUAGGAGGAACACCAGUGGCGAAGGCGACUUUCUGGACAGUAACUGACGUUGAGGCACGAAAGUGUGGGGAGCAAACAGGAUUAGAUACCCUUGUAU